rnacentral:rRNA from 1 species
AACCUAGCGGCGGACGGGUGAGUAAUGCUUAGGAAUCUGCCUAUUAGUGGGGGACAACAUUUCGAAAGGGAUGCUAAUACCGCAUACGCCCUAAGGGGGAAAGCAGGGGAUCUUCGGACCUUGCGCUAAUAGAUGAGCCUAAGUCGGAUUAGCUAGUUGGUGGGGUAAAGGCCUACCAAGGCGACGAUCUGUAGCGGGUCUGAGAGGAUGAUCCGCCACACUGGGACUGAGACACGGCCCAGACUCCUACG